GAUGAACGCUGGCGGCGUGCCUAAUACAUGCAAGUCGAGCGAACAGACGAGGAGCUUGCUCCUCUGACGUUAGCGGCGGACGGGUGAGUAACACGUGGAUAACCUACCUAUAAGACUGGGAUAAUUUCGGGAAACCGGAGCUAAUACCGUAUAAUAUAUUGAACCGCAUGGUUCAAUAGUGAAAGACGGUUUUGCUGUCACUUAUAGAUGGAUCCGCGCCGCAUUAGCUAGUUGGUAAGGUAACGGCUUACCAAGGCGACGAUGCGUAGCCGACCUGAGAGGGUGAUCGGCCACACUGGAACUGAGACACGGUCCAGACUCCUACGGGAGGCAGCAGUAGGGAAUCUUCCGCAAUAGGCGAAAGCCUGACGGAGCAACGCCGCGUGAGUGAUGAAGGUCUUCGGAUCGUAAAACUCUGUUAUUAGGGAAGAACAAAUGUGUAAGUAACUAUGCACGUCUUGACGGUACCUAAUCAGAAAGCCACGGCUAACUACGUG
rnacentral:rRNA from 1 species